rnacentral:rRNA from 1 species
UGGGGAAUAUUGGACAAUGGGGGCAACCCUGAUCCAGCCAUGCCGCGUGAGUGAUGAAGGCCCUAGGGUUGUAAAGCUCUUUUAGCAGGGAAGAUAAUGACGGUACCUGCAGAAAAAGCCCCGGCUAACUUCGUGCCAGCAGCCGCGGUAAUACGAAGGGGGCUAGCGUUGCUCGGAAUCACUGGGCGUAAAGCGCACGUAGGCGGCUUUCUAAGUCAGGGGUGAAAUCCUGGAGCUCAACUCCAGAACUGCCUUUGAUACUGGAGAGCUUGAGUCCGGGAGAGGUGAGUGGAACUGCGAGUGUAGAGGUGAAAUUCGUAGAUAUUCGCAAGAACACCAGUGGCGAAGGCGGCUCACUGGCCCGGUACUGACGCUGAGGUGCGAAAGCGUGGGGAGCAAACAGG